CUGCAUAAGUUGUAUUUUGCUGUAAAUUUGGACAAAGAGUAAUGCUGAUGUAAGUUAGGCGAGUAUUGUUUGAGUCCUAGGGGCUCAUAAAGGACCAUUGCAUAUAU